CAAUUCUGAUUUGCUAUUGCACCACAUGUGUUUUUCUUUGAAACAAACUUGCUUUGGCGGUGGGCCCAGCCUGCCGCCAGAGGUCUAAACUUACAACCAAUUUUUUAUCAACUUGUCACACCAGAUUAUUACUAAUAGUCAAAACUUUCAACAACGGAUCUCUUGGUUCUCGCAUCGAUGAAGAACGCAGCGAAAUGCGAUACGUAAUAUGAAUUGCAGAUAUUCGUGAAUCAUCGAAUCUUUGAACGCACAUUGCGCCCUCUGGUAUUCCGGAGGGCAUGCCUGUUUGAGCGUCGUUUCUCCCUCAAACCGCUGGGUUUGGUGUUGAGCAAUACGACUUGGGUUUGCUUGAAAGACGGUAGUGGUAAGGCGGGAUCGCUUUGACAAUGGCUUAGGUCUAACCAAAAACAUUGCUUGCGGCGGUAACGUCCACCACGUAUAUCUUCAAACUUUGACCUCAAAUCAGGUAGGACUACCCGCUGAACUUAAGCAUAUCAAAGUGCGGAGGAAA
rnacentral:rRNA from 1 species